AAAAAAAAUCCUGAAAAUGACAGAUAUAUAUCACGUAUCAUGAUAACACUGUUAAAACUGUAAACGUGUGUUGUUCAUAAUACAAAUUCAAGUUCUUCGUGUACAUAUUGUCACUUCCCUUUUAUUACUUCAAAAACAAAAAAUUGGUGUAGAAAAUUCAGGGGAGGCAGUUGCCUCCCCUGCCUCAUAGGUAGUUACGGCCCUGGU
rnacentral:lncRNA from 1 species